UACGGAGGGUGCAAGCGUUAUUCGGAAUUACUGGGCGUAAAGGGCGUGUAGGCGGCCUUUUAAGUCAGGUGUGAAAUCCCACGGCUUAACCGUGGAACUGCACUUGAAACUGGGAGGCUUGAGUACGGGAGAGGGCGGCGGAAUUCCCGGUGUAGGAGUGAAAUCCGUAGAUAUCGGGAGGAACACCAGUGGCGAAGGCGGCCGCCUGGACCGUAACUGACGCUGAGACGCGAAAGCGUGGGGAG
rnacentral:rRNA from 1 species